AUGACAAGUAACAUCUUCCUCAGUCAGCCUAUCCUUUUAGAACUUGAAGCACCACUCAAGAUAUGUGGUGACAUCCACAGGCAGUACUAUGAUUUGCUCCGUCUGUUUGAAAAUGGUGGCUUCCCUCCAGAGAGCAACUAUUUGUUUCUCGGCGACUAUGUGGACAGGGGCAAACAGUCACUAGAGACGAUCUGCCUCUUGCUGGCCUACAAAAUCAAGUAUCCGGAGAACUUUUUUCUUCUCAGAGGGAACCAUGAGUGUGCCAGCAUCAAUAGAAUCUAUGGAUUUUAUGAUGAAUGCAAAAGAAGAUACAACAUUAAGCUGUGGAAAACGUUCACAGACUGUUUUAACUGCUUAUCGAUAGCAGCCAUCGUGGACGAGAAGAUAUUCUGCUGUCAUGGAGGUUUUUCACCAGAUCUUCAAUGUAUGGAGCAGAUUCGGCAAAUUAUGAGACCAAGUGAUGUACCAGAUCAAGGUCUUCUUUGUGAUCUUUUGUGGUCUGACCCCGAUAAGGAUGUCUUAGGCUGGGAUGAAAAUGACAGAGGAGUGUCCUUCACAUUUGAUGCAGAAGUGGUUGCAAAAUUUCUCCAUAAGCAUGAUUUGGAUCUUAUAUGUAGAGCCCAUCAGGUGGUUGAAGAUGGGUAUGAGUUUUUUGCAAAGAGGCAGUUAGUCACUCUGUUUUCUGCACCCAACUACUGUGGUGAGUUUGACAAUGCAGGUGCCAUGAUGAGUGUGGAUGAGACACUCAUGUGUUCCUUCCAGAUUUUAAAGCCUGCAGAGAAAAAGAAGCCCAAUGCCACAAGACCUGUCACACCGCCACGGGUUGGAUCAGGCCUGAACACGUCCAUUUAGAAAGCUUCAAAUUAUAGAAACAACACUGUCCUAUGCGAGUGACCGAUAAUGCUUUCUUUGGCUACAUUCUUUAUUCUGCGGUGACAUUGAGGCUUAUAAAUCAAAAGGAGCUAACUUGCCAUCCUCCGGUUUAUACAGAACUCACAGUAUCUAUGACUUUUUUAAACUAUGACCUGUUAAAAUGAAUCUGUUUCCACAGAUGCCCUGUACAAUGCCAUGUGCUGAGAAUGAUUUCAGACUUAUUAAAUGCGAGCUUGUUAAAAAAAAAAA